AAAUUGAAGAGUUUGAUCAUGGCUCAGAUUGAACGCUGGCGGCAGGCCUAACACAUGCAAGUCGAACGGUAACAGGAAGCAGCUUGCUGCUUCGCUGACGAGUGGCGGACGGGUGAGUAAUGUCUGGGAAACUGCCUGAUGGAGGGGGAUAACUACUGGAAACGGUAGCUAAUACCGCAUAACGUCGCAAGACCAAAGAGGGGGACCUUCGGGCCUCUUGCCAUCGGAUGUGCCCAGAUGGGAUUAGCUAGUAGGUGGGGUAACGGCUCACCUAGGCGACGAUCCCUAGCUGGUCUGAGAGGAUGACCAGCCACACUGGAACUGAGACACGGUCCAGACUCCUACGGGAGGCAGCAGUGGGGAAUAUUGCACAAUGGGCGCAAGCCUGAUGCAGCCAUGCCGCGUGUAUGAAGAAGGCCUUCGGGUUGUAAAGUACUUUCAGCGGGGAGGAAGGGAGUAAAGUUAAUACCUUUGCUCAUUGACGUUAC
rnacentral:rRNA from 1 species